CUCGUAGGCGGUUUGUCGCGUCUGCUGUGAAAACCCGAGGCUCAACCUCGGGCCUGCAGUGGGUACGGGCAGACUAGAGUGCGGUAGGGGAGAUUGGAAUUCCUGGUGUAGCGGUGGAAUGCGCAGAUAUCAGGAGGAACACCGAUGGCGAAGGCAGAUCUCUGGGCCGUAACUGACGCUGAGGAGCGAAAGCGUGGGGAGCGAACGA
rnacentral:rRNA from 1 species